CCCUUAGAUGUUCUGGGCCGCACGCGCGCUACACUGAUGCAUUCAACGAGUUUCUUCCUGGUCCGAGAGGAAUGGGUAACCUUUUGAAAGUGCAUCGUGAUAGGGAUAGACUAUUGCAAUUAUUGGUCUUCAACGAGGAAUUCCUAGUAGACGUAGUUCAUCAGACUGCAUCGAUUACGUCCCUGCCCUUUGUACACACCGCCCGUCGCUCCUACCGAUUGAAUGCUCAGGUGAGCCAUUCGGACUUUCAUCAUGCUGGUUUCCAGUUUUGAUGAAGGAAAGUCUUGCGAACCUGAUCAUUUAGAGGAAGGAGAAGUCGGAACA
rnacentral:rRNA from 1 species